AUUCGAUUGAGUUUGAUCCUGGCUCAGGAUGAACGCUGGCGGCGUGCUUAACACAUGCAAGUCGAACGAAGCACUUGCAGCGGACUGGAGAGCUUGCUCAAAGGGAAGCAGCAUUUGACUGAGUGGCGGACGGGUGAGUAACGCGUGGAUAACCUGCCUCAUACAGGGGGAUAACAGUUGGAAACGGCUGUUAAUACCGCAUAAGCGCACGAAACCGCAUGGUUUUGUGUGAAAAACUCCGGUGGUAUGAGAUGGGUCCGCGUCUGAUUAGCUAGUUGGCAGGGUAACGGCCUACCAAGGCGACGAUCAGUAGCCGGCCUGAGAGGGUGUACGGCCACAUUGGGACUGAGACACGGCCCAAACUCCUACGGGAGGCAGCAGUGGGGAAUAUUGCACAAUGGGGGAAACCCUGAUGCAGCGACGCCGCGUGGGUGAAGAAAUAUUUCGGUAUGUAAAGCCCUAUCAGCAGGGAAGAAAAUGACGGUACCUGACUAAGAAGCCCCGGCUAACUACGUGCCAGCAGCCGCGGUAAUACGUAGGGGGCAAGCGUUAUCCGGAU
rnacentral:rRNA from 1 species